rnacentral:rRNA from 1 species
CGGACGGGUGAGUAACGCGUGAGAAUCUGCCUUUCAGGUCGGGGAUAACAGCUGGAAACGGCUGCUAAUACCGGAUGAGCCGAGAGGUAAAAGCAAAAGUGCCUGAAGAUGAGCUCGCGUCUGAUUAGCUAGUUGGUGGGGUAAAGAGCCUACCAAGGCGACGAUCAGUAGCUGGUCUGAGAGGAUGAUCAGCCACACUGGGACUGAGACACGGCCCAGACUCCUACGGGAGGCAGCAGUGGGGAAUUUUCCGCAAUGGGCGCAAGCCUGACGGAGCAAUACCGCGUGAGGGAGGAAGGCCCUUGGGUUGUAAACCUCUUUUGUCAGGGAAGAAGGUCUGACGGUACCUGACGAAUCAGCAUCGGCUAACUCCGUGCCAGCAGCCGCGGUAAUACGGAGGAUGCAAGCGUUAUCCGGAUUUAUUGGGCGUAAAGGGUCCGCAGGUGGUUAUUCAAGUCUGCUGUCAAAGCGCGGAGCUUAACUCCGUACAGGCGGUGGAAACUGAGGAACUAGAGUCUGGUAGGGGUCGCGGGAAUUCCCAGUGUAGCGGUGAAAUGCGUAGAUAUUGGGAAGAACACCGGCGGCGAAAGCGCGCGACUGGACCGGAACUGACACUGAGGGACGAAAGCUAGGGGAGCGAAAGGGAUUAGAUACCCCUGUAGUC